rnacentral:misc_RNA from 1 species
UCUUAACACGUAUCGAUUUGUUCAUACAAACUAAAAUCCAUAACCAAUGUCGUUAAGCUUAUAGCACUCACUCUCUUCCUAAAGAUCAAAUGCCAAAUUUCAAGGCCUAAAAACCUAUCUGAAGUAAAUGGAAAUUUGUGGGAUAUCAAUAUCAUUGUCUUCAUCAUCCUCACAAGCAACCACCACAUCCAAGUGCCUCCGAUAUGGAGGCAAUUCCGCUUUGCCCACCUCCCUAGCCAGAUCAACCAACUUCUUGUCCAUGCGUUCUCUAUGCCUAGGGAACAUGCUGUUAUAAAGCAGACAACU